AAGUCGUAACAAGGUUUCCGUAGGUGAACCUGCGGAAGGAUCAUUAACACGUAUCCAAACGUUAACCCCCCUGUGAACCAGUUCAAUGUUGAGUGUCUGAAAGUGUCAUUAGCUGUGUAAGGAUGACGCAGUCACAAUCGUUGGAGGCCGACACGGCCGACGACCGGGUCACUGGGCCCUUUUAUGCAUGUCAGACGUGCCAGCCUUAAUUGAGCGGCAACAAAAAACCGAACAACUGUUAACAAUGGAUAUCUUGGUUCUC
rnacentral:misc_RNA from 1 species